rnacentral:rRNA from 1 species
GAUGAACGCUGGCGGCGUGCCUAAUACAUGCAAGUCGAACGAAACUUCUUUAUCACCGAGUGCUUGCACUCACCGAUAAAGAGUUGAGUGGCGAACGGGUGAGUAACACGUGGGCAACCUGCCCAAAAGAGGGGGAUAACACUUGGAAACAGGUGCUAAUACCGCAUAACCAUAGUUACCGCAUGGUAACUAUGUAAAAGGUGGCUAUACUACCGCUUUUGGAUGGGCCCGCGGCGCAUUAGCUAGUUGGUAGGGUAAAGGCUUACCAAGGCAAUGAUGCGUAGCCGAAUUGAGAGGUUGAUCGGCCACAUUGGGACUGAGACACGGCCCAAACUCCUACGGGAGGCAGCAGUAGGGAAUCUUCCACAAUGGGCGAAAGCCUGAUGGAGCAACGCCGCGUGGGUGAAGAAGGUCUUCGGAUCGUAAAACCCUGUUGUUAGAGAAGAAAGUGCGUGAGAGUAACAGUUCACGUUUCGACGGUAUCUAACCGGAAAGCCACGGCUAACUACGUG